rnacentral:lncRNA from 1 species
GGGUAUUACCAACAUGCCACAUGUAGAUGAUUGCGUGUGUGUGUGACAGGGUAAGACGACCAAACAUGAUAAAUUCUAUGAUUAUUGAUUUUAUAAAGCAUCAAAGAGUGUAUGUAUAUAGGAGAAGCAAUUUUGUCGUUUCAGAUUGAUAGGUCAUUUUUAUUUUUUGUAAUAUUAAGCAUAUUUCAAUUUGAGACACUUUAAGUGCAAUAUUUUUUAUUUUACAUAUAUUUGAAUAAUCGUCACUUUUUCAUAUCCCAGGCAUAGAUUACCUUAGCCGUAUUUGACACAACUUUUUUAGAAUUUUGGAUACUCAAUGCUCUUCAAUUUUGUACUUGUUUGGCUUUAUAAAUAUUUUGAUAUGAGCGUCACUGAUGAGUCUUAUGUAGACGAAACGCGCGUCUGGCGUACUAAAUUAUAAUCCUGGUACCUUUGAUAACUACGUAUUAACAUUAAAUUUGAUCUAUCACAAUUUAUAGAGCAAGCAGACAUUCUUUUGUCAAUACAACCAUGUUUCAUGUCAUCUGCUUAAAAAUAUAUAACAAGAAUGUGUCCAAAGUACACGGAUGCCCCACUCGCACUAUCCUUUUCCAUGUUUUAUGAACCGUGAAAUUGUGUAAUAAUCUAAUUUGGCAUUAAAAUUAGAAAGAUUAUACUAUAGAGAACAUAUGUACUAAGUUUCAAGUUGACUGGACUUCAAUUUCAUCAAAAACUACCUUGACCAAAAACUUUAGCCUGAAACUCCCACUUUCAUUUUUUAUGUUCAGUGGACCGUAAAAUUGGGGUCAAAAGUCUAAUUUGGCUUUAAAAUAAGAAAGAUCAUAUCAUAAACAACAAGUGUACUAAGUUUCAAGUUGAUUGGAUUUCAGCUUCAUCAAAAACUACCUUGACCAAAAACUUUAACCUGAACGGACACACAGACGGACGAACGGACGGACGGACGGACGGAAGCACAGACCAGAAAAUAUAAUGCCCCUCUACUAUCGUAGGUGGGGCAUAAAAAUCGAGACAAGUGAUAAUUAAUCUUCCUUGAGCACGUGGGUAAGGUUGGCCUGCAACAGUUUUUCGUGCUAUUGAUUUGGUUCUGAUCAGUGCUGGUGAUCGUUGAACACAUGUUCACACAGAUGAUUUUUGACGUUUUCUCAAAUAAAACAUGAAAAGAAAUAUUUUGAUUUUCAAUGGUUCAAAGGCAAGCAAUUAAAAUGGCUCCUAUACGCUGUUCCAGUAUAUGUAACACAAACGUGCUCAUUUAAAAUAAUCUAGGACAGAAAAAAUAAACAAGUUUACUUUACUGCAUUGGCUAGAGGUAUAGGAGGAGGGUUGAGAUCUCACAAACAUGUUUAACCCCGCCGCAUUUUUGUGCCUGUCCCAAGUCAGGAGCCUCUGGCCUUUGUUAGUCUUGAAAUAUUUUAACUAUUAGUUUUUGUGUACAAUUAUGAGUUUAGUAUGGUGUUCAUUAUCACUGAACUAGUAUAUAUUUGUUUAGGGCCAGCUGAAGGACGCCUCCGCGGGUGCGAGAAUUUCUCGUUGCAUUGAAGAUCUGUUGGUGACCUUCUGCUGUUGUCUGCUCUAUGGCCGGGUUGUUGUCUCCUUGGCACAUUCCCAUUUCCAUUCUCAAUUUUAAGUGUUUCUGGAGUCCGCCUUUGUUACCCAGAAUCCGCAUGAUAAUUUUUUGUGUGAAAAAAUAAAACGAAGCAAUUUAUCAAUAUCCACAUUUGAUAUUAACUUUAGACAUGUCCUAGCUGGUUCUGUGGUGGUGUGUUCUGAUUCUGUGCUGGUGGAUCCUGAUACAGUACUGAUAAUUUAUGGCAAGACGAUAGUCCUAUUUGAUCCAAAAGUUUCAGAAGUUAUCAAUUGUUUUUUUGCUCCUAAUUUAUUUUGUGGACACCCAUAUUAUUGUAGUUUUCAAAAUAUUAGUAAUAGUUAUUUCAUACUACGUAAUUAAAAGGGAAAUAUCAUCAAUCGUAUAUCAGAUGGAAACAUGUGCAAUUAUAAUAGUUAAAUGUUAAAGUAGUUAAAAUGGUUUCGCGCGCGAAGCCCAGUCACCUGAUUUAUAUGUAACCGGAGAAUGAAUUUUAUUACAAAAUUGCUUGUCUCCACCGGGAGUCGAACACGGAACCUCUGUGUUACAAGGCAGCGCGUUAACCGACUGAGCUAAAGAAGUAGUUCCUUAGACUCAACCGCUUACGACUGACUAAGUAUGUACUUAGUUUUUCUAAGGGAAGCCAUCCCGUCACACUUCCCCCACCUCAAGAGUCAUUAUACUCUAUAAUGAUGAUAUCUUCAUCUUUUUAUAUUUAUAUUAUAACCUGGCUAGAUAUUUCUUCUAACCGUGGGUUUUUAUUGUUGGGCGCCAAUGUAACCGGAGAGCAUGAAUUUUAUUACAAAAUUGCUUGUCUCCACCGGGACUCGAACCCGGAACCUCUAAGAUACAAGGCAGCGUGUUUUUUUCUCUUUGAUGAGGCAGCGCGUUAACCGACUGAGCUAAAGAAGUACUUCCUUAGCUCAACCGCUUACGGCUGACUAAGUAUCUACUAAGUUUUUCUAAGGGAAGCCAUCCCGGCACACUUAUAUAUCACGUUGUAUUUGUUGUUGUGGUCGUCGACCGAAAAAUCGUUCUCUGAAACCACAGGAUCAAAUGCCACCAAAAGAAUUCUUCCUUGGGAAAUUAAGUAUGUAAAUGGAAUAAAAAGAAAUGUUCAGAGAUUAAUACAGACAACAGUUGAAGGUCUUUCCAUCUCGCGUGUUGAUCAUUAUCCUAUCUACUUGAUACAAACUAAAGAUUUUAUAAAAAUGUGAAAAUUUUGAAAAAGUAAAACCGUAACAAAAAGCGUGACAACUGCACGUCUUAUUCCUGGUCUAAAUCAUCAUUGCAUGUGGCUUUUCCUGGUUUUGGACAUAAUUGAAUGAUGAUAAUCGUGAUUUUGGACAUAAUUGAAUGUGGCUUUUCAUGGUUUCGGACGUAAAUGAAUGCGGCCAUUUAUGGUUUCGGGCAUAAAUGAACGCGGCUAUUCGUGGUUUCGAACAUAAUUGAAUGCUACUCGUGAUUUCGAACAUAAUUGAAUGCUACUUGUGGUUUCGAACAUAAUUGAAUGCUACUCGUGGUUUCGAACAUAAUUGAAUGCUACUCGUGGUUUCGAACAUAAUUGAAUGCGGCUAUUCGUGGUUUUGAACAUAGUUAAUUAUAAAUUCUUGUAAGGUGCUUAUUAUAAAUCAAUACGAUAAAUAAAAAAUGACACUAGUCCCAUUAAAAAAAUAAGAAGAUUUAUAAGAUUACUAGAAGACACUUGUAAAAUUGCAGGCAUGUGACUCGGAUUACAGUUGAUGUUCAAGACUCGCAUUGUUAACUGAUAAGUAACUGAAUUGUAAAUUGAUUUCGUUUACUUUCUGUAUUCAUGUUCUCAGUGUUACUAGUCGUAUUCCCGUUCAAUUGGAAUUUUCGAAUAUUAAAAUAACACUUAAAAACUUCUAAUUAAAUAUCUCGUGAUAGGGUAGACUUAAACUUCCGGAGGCUGCAAACUUAUUAUCCUAUAUAACACAAUCACACACAGUGAAUUUUUUAAGUUACACAGGCAAAUUUCACUCGCAUCAACUUCACGUGAUUUUAAAUUCAUGUGAAUCUCACGUGAAAUUCCGUGACAUGAAUUUCAUCUCAAACAAGCUUAUAUGUGAAACUCACGUGAAAUCGUUUUUUGUGAGUUUCAUGUGAAUCUCACAUGAAAAUCACGUAAGUUUUUCUAAUGUGAAAUUCACAUGAAUUUUUAAAAUAGAGUAAUUCAAAUAACAUCUUUUUCAAGUUCAAUUAAAAUCAUGAAAAAUGUCGAUUUUUUGUUGUAACCUUCACGUGAAAUUCAUGUGAAAAAUUUCACAUCAAAUUCAGGUGAAUCUCAAUUCACAUGAAAUUCACGUGAACAUUUUCACGCUAGUUUCAUGUAUAAGCUCGUUUGAGGUGAAUCUCACGCGAAAUUUUUCAUGUGAAUUUCAUGUGAGAUUCAUGUGAAAUUCAUGUGAGCAAAUUUUGCCUGUGUAUGGCAUUUUAAAUAUAGAUCAACAUGUAAAGUCUAUCGUGAAAGGCUCUCAUUAAGAAAUAUUAUAUCUUUCCGUUUAUUUUAUUUUUAGAGGAAUUCAUGCUUUUGCACAAAAAAGUUCUAAGUGUAUUUUCAUAUACCAUUACCGACUAUUAUGUGAUAAUUUGUCUACAGUUUAAAAGUUUAUAUAAUCUCGAAGCUCCAUAUUACAAUUUUAGUAUAAACACGUAUAGAAGAUGCAAAAAAACUAAAUUAUGUACCUGCAUUAAGCUUUUAAAGUCCAUAGAAAUAUUUUAAAUUGAAAUUGACCAUUUUUACCUUUCAUUUCUUUAGUUUAAUUUCAACUAGAUAACAGCCUGAUUUGAUAAGCAGCAACUCUCUAGAUAUUAUUUAAGCUAAAUAUUUUAUAGCAAAUUGGAAAAUAAAAAGUAAAUGUUCACAGUUACUGAUCACAUGAUAUAUAUAACUUAGAAAACACUAUACCGGUCUUUAAUAAAAUGUACUUCUUCCAGUGGUCAAAAUUAUUAAUGCAGAUAUUGCACCAUUUUUAAUUUCGCCUCAGUUCCCUCAGAAAUCAACACUAAUAAUGAACAAAAUCUGAUAUUUUAUAUGCAUUUUUCUUACAAAUAUAAAUCGGAUUUAAAUAAGUAUCGUACAUCUGCUGUUUACUAAACUCAUAAGCUGAAUGUAUUAUUAUCCUUAAAAUGACAUUAUAUAUAAUCCCUCUUUUAUUUUGUUUCAGUGUGUCAUCCGGGUUCUUAGAUAUAACUAGAAAUGAGAGUAAAUAAAAAAUGAAUGAAAAUCUACAAGAACGCAAUAAUGAGAAGGACAAAGAGUGUUAUAGUCCUUGGAAUGAUAGCUUGUUUACUGGUGUUUAAAUCUUACUUUAAUAACGGUAAGAUUCUCAAACUGUUACUUAACUCGGGCAAGAAUACGAUCUUUUCUAUCGGUCUUUAUAUCUUACUUUGACAACUGCAAGAUUGUCUAACUGUUACUUAACUCAGGCAAAAAUGAUAGCUUUUCUACUGGUGCUUAUAUCUUACUUUGAUACCGAUAAGGUCGCCCAACUGCCACUUAAAGCAGGCACAAUGUUACUGUUUUUUUCUCUACAUAACAGUUGAAGCUGGAGCUAUUUUGUACUAUGAAUCGAUGGCACUUUCUUAGCUUUAUGAGCGUGCAAAAAACGUAUGAAGCGAUCUGAGUAAGAUCUUGAAUCUUUUUCAAAUGAUUUAAAGAAGGAAUUGAAAAAAUCGAUAAAUCUAUUACACUUGUACUUUAAUGUGUUUAUGUAUUUUAUUUCAAAUGCUCGUAAAGGAGAGUCGAAAAUAUACCAGAUGGACAUCAUAACUAAAAAAUAAACUGACAACGCCAUGGCAAAAAAUAAAAAAACCAAAAGAGACCAAUUUUUAAGACAAAAAAACAGUUGCAAAAACCCAACAUAGUAAACUCAAGACUGAACAACACAAACCUUGAGCAACACGAACCCCAUCAAAACUCUGGGGGUGAUCAUAGUAAAACUACAUUCAACAGCAAAUAAUACAAGCAUUAGCCUUUCAAAAAGGGCUAGUCGACUCUUAGCUGAUGAAAAUGGAAAGUGCUCUCGCUUUGUAGAUUCAUUCAUUUACUAGAAUAGCCACGUGCAUCAAUCAACAAAUUUUACCACACACUAUGAAGUAGUAUAUAUCGUUUAACGUUAUUGUUUACGAAACUCCAGAAGAUUCGACUAUUUAGAGAUAAAAGUUACCUGUGUAUCCAUAUCAUGAAUAUGCAUGAUUAAUGACCAGGCAAAAUCUAAUUGCUAAAAUAGAGAGGACAAAUCCGAUACUCUACGGGAUUGAAGGACAUUUACUAGGUUUGAUGUUCCUAACCAAUCAAUUAACUUUGAUUAUUCACGUCUCGUAAUAUCUUCCAAUCAGGUAGCAAGAAAAAUUCACGCACUGACUGUCCAUCGUUCAAUUCUUAAUAUCGACUCCUAAUAAAUAAUUAAUCUGAUACAAAAACUGCAUUCAACAUCAAAUAACAUUAAUCUGAUAACAGGUAUUUCGCAUAAUCAUUUUUUGUUUGAAUUACUAUAGAUUUUAUGAUUCUGAUGCUUUGUGUUUAUGAUAACAAAAAUAUAUAUUUGCAUUUGCGUUAUUACUUUUGAAUGACAUUGUAUUUUAUAGCAGUUUUGUUUAUGACAGACCAAUCUAGUAAAGAGAGUUUACGGUUAAAAGAGUUAACAG